AUUGAACGCUGGCGGCAUGCCUUACACAUGCAAGUCGAACGGUAACAGGUCUUCGGAUGCUGACGAGUGGCGAACGGGUGAGUAAUACAUCGGAACGUGCCCGAUCGUGGGGGAUAACGAGGCGAAAGCUUUGCUAAUACCGCAUACGAUCUACGGAUGAAAGCGGGGGAUCUUCGGACCUCGCGCGGACGGAGCGGCCGAUGGCAGAUUAGGUAGUUGGUGGGAUAAAAGCUUACCAAGCCGACGAUCUGUAGCUGGUCUGAGAGGAUGAUCAGCCACACUGGGACUGAGACACGGCCCAGACUCCUACGGGAGGCAGCAGUGGGGAAUUUUGGACAAUGGGCGAAAGCCUGAUCCAGCCAUGCCGCGUGCAGGAUGAAGGCCUUCGGGUUGUAAACUGCUUUUAUACGGAACGAAAAGCCUCUUUCUAAUAAAGAGGGGUCAUGACGGUACCGUAAGAAUAAGCACCGGCUAACUACGUG
rnacentral:rRNA from 1 species